CCUACGGGUGGCAGCAGUGAGGAAUAUUGGUCAAUGGACGCAAGUCUGAACCAGCCAUGCCGCGUGCAGGAAGACGGCCCUAUGAGUUGUAAACUGCUUUUGUACGAGGGUAAACGCAGAUACGCGUAUCUGUCUGAAAGUAUCGUACGAAUAAGGAUCGGCUAACUCCGUGCCAGCAGCCGCGGUAAUACGGAGGAUGCAAGCGUUAUCCGGAUUUAUUGGGUUUAAAGGGUGCGUAGGCGGUAGGAUAAGUUAGAGGUGAAAUCCCGAGGCUCAACUUCGUAAGUGCCUUUGAUACUGUUCGUCUAGAGUGUAGUUGCGGUAGGCGGAAUGUAUGGUGUAGCGGUGAAAUGCUUAGAGAUCAUACAGAACACCGAUUGCGAAGGCAGCUUACCAGGCUACUUCUGACGUUGAGGCACGAAAGCGUGGGGAGCAAACAGGAUUAGAUACCCCAGUAGUC
rnacentral:rRNA from 1 species